rnacentral:rRNA from 1 species
AAUCAACGCUGGUGGCGUGCCUAACACAUGCAAGUCGAACGCGAAAGCCCCUUCGGGGGUAAGUAGAGUGGCGUCCGGGUGAGUAACACGUAGGUAAUCUACCUUCGGGUGGGGAAGUAACCAGUCGAAAGAUUGGCUAAUACCGCAUAAUGCAGCGGCACCUAAUGGUGAUUAGUUGUUAAAGCGGGGAUCGUAAGACCUCGCGCCUAAAGAGGAGCCUGCGGCAGAUUAGCUAGUUGGUGAGGUAAUGGCUCACCAAGGCUUCGAUCUGUAGCUGGUCUGAGAGGACGAUCAGCCACACUGGGACUGAGACACGGCCCAGACUCCUACGGGAGGCAGCAGUGGGGAAUCUUGCGCAAUGGGACGGAAGCCUGACGCAGCAACGCCGCGUGAGGGAAGACGGCCU